UCGUGCUAGGCGGGGAGCUAGCGGUGCCCUGUAACCCGCAAUCCGCUCAGCGGGGCUGAAUGCCCGCCCGAGGGUUGUUACACGAGGACUGCCGACAUAAAGCGGCGUUGAGAGCCUGGUCCUGCGCGGCGAUGCCCGGCCAACCCCGUCAGGGUCGGAAGGCAGCAGCGGUACGUCGGUCACAUCGGGCGCCGCAGGGGCGCCGGGCUUGAGCUGGCUCAUGAACGCAAGCUCGCUGUGCAACUCAAGGGCGGGGCACGA
rnacentral:SRP_RNA from 1 species